AACAAGCCGGGAUAGCUCAGUUGGUAGAGCAGAGGACUGAAAAUUCUCGUGUCACCA
rnacentral:tRNA from 1 species